UGUCCAGCAAUGAUUAGAAUCAGACAUGUAAUGAAGUUUACAGACUUCAAGCUAGAAGAUAACACACGAUAUGGAAGGGAAAGACUGUCAGCUAAAAUCCACAAUGCAAUAGACAAAGAGGAUGAUGUAGCUGUGCAACAUGUUUACCUUAUCUCUGUUCCAGAUACCCACCAGAACCAUUUUACAGGAGAGAUAGGUAUGUUGAUACAACCACUUGAUGAAAGGAUAAAAAAAUAUAUAAGGAAAAUGGUGGCUGAAAGCAACAUUACUUCGUCAACUCAAAUGAAAUUGCUUCUUGAUGUUUACAUUAAAAAUGAUUUGUUUAAAGACCAACAACUACCAUCACCCAUAAAUAGUAGAUUCUGGCCAACCUUGAAAGUCAUCAGAAAUAAUAUUCUUCUUGGACUACUGGAAAUAAGAAACAGCAACGUUGAUCAGGUUUUUAUACAUACUAAUUAUGAUAAAUAAUAGAUGAGUAUUUUUGUUGAUACCAUGGAAAACACA